GAUGAACGCUGGCGGCGUGCCUAAUACAUGCAAGUCGAACGAGAUCUUCGGAUCUAGUGGCGAACGGGUGAGUAACGCGUUGGUACCUACCCUGAAGUGGGGAAUAACUGGCCGAAAGGUCGGCUAAUACCGCAUAAUACCGCAAGGUUAAAGUCGUAAGACGCUUCGGGAGGGGCCUGCGUCCCAUUAGCUAGUUGGUGAGGUAACUGCUCACCAAGGCGACGAUGUGUAGCUGGAUCGAGAGGUUGACCAGCCACACUGGGACUGAGAUACGGCCAGACUCCUACGGGAGGCAGCAGUAAGGAGUCUUCCACAAUGGGCGAAAGCUUGAUGGAGCAACGCCGCGUGCAGGAUGACGGUCUUCGGAUUGUAAACUGCUGUUAUAUGGGAAGAUUAUGACGGUACCAUAUGAAUAAGCACCGGCUAACUACGUGCCAGCCGCCGCGGUAA
rnacentral:rRNA from 1 species